GAAAACAAAGCAUGAGAAUUUUGUUGCCUUGCAAUGACAAAAUCCAAUAUUUGAUUCCGGAGGUUGUUCUAUGCUAUGGUUUGAGAGAUUCGAACAUGGUUCACAUGAUUAUAACUUCAACUUGCUUCGUGUUCCUACCAUGUUGCCAGUCAAGGAAUUUCCAAGCAAAUUGAAAUGGUAAGGAACAACUAUGUUUUUGAUCCCGAUGAUUAUAGUUCUAUAUUAUUGUUCAAGGGACUUGAGCCAUGGAAUUUUGUUUUCCAAGAUUAUAUCUUUCGAAUACUUUGUGAUUCUGGUUUGUUUCCAUUGAAGAACAUUUUGAUUCAUUAUGAG
rnacentral:lncRNA from 1 species